ACCAAGCGCAGCGAUUGGAUAAUAAGGCCCUCUGUCUGAACUGCCUGGGUCACAUUGGGAGCAGAGGAAGAGUCAGGGUCACAUACAGGCAGCAUGAAGAAGCAGGAGCAGCCGGGCACAAGGAGAAACCAUCUAACAAAGCUAACAGUUCACAGAGCCUGGCCCGGCUACUCGUGAGUUUGCUGAGAGAGAAGAUCCAGGUCAGGUAGUAGACAGGACUGCGCCAGGGAGCCCCAGUUCUGGCCUGGAGAGAGAUGAUCAUAUGGGGAGUGAGCAUCUAUCAUGCGUGACUGCAAGAUGGCAUUUGGUGACCAACAGUCAAGACAACCUGGAGGGACCCAAGUGGACGCUGAUUGACAUUUUGGAUUGUUUCUGCCUGUGAAGGUGAAGCAGCCUUCUCAGGCUCAUUUCCAGGAAAACUUCAAAGACAACCACAGCCCACACAGGUGAAGAAAACCCCAGGACCACACCAUCCUCCAUGCUGAUGUCCCCCCACCAACCCAACCCAGAGAGGUGGGCUAAGAAUACCAGUGUGGAGAAGGCUGCAGGGGACGAACGUAGGUGCUAAGGACUAAGGGCACACACAAGGCCGAGAGGAUGCCUACAAACAUCCCACGUGAUCGUGUCAGUCUCAGUCAAGGUGCUAAACCAAACCAAAGAAGUUUAUGUAAGAGCUAAGCACAGGGAAAUGGGAGUCGGGUUGCAAGGGUGGUUUCUCCAGACCCAGGGGAGUGGGGGUAUUUUCCAAAGGAGGCCACCUGUGACCACAGAACAUCCUCCUGGGUUACAAGGUGAGUAAACAGGGGUGGCUGUUCACGUUGGCUAGGCCUGGAGUGGCCUCGGUCUCCUCUGCUGACAUCCUUGACUAAACUUUCUUCUGUGUCAACUCUGAAGUUGGUGGUGUCUGCUUGGAGCUCUGGGAGGAGAAGAAUCAGGAAGCCAUGUGUGUAACAGGAGUGAAUGCUAUGAGGGUUAACAGUGUCUGCCAGGGCUACAGACGUGGGAAGCAGAGGUGAGCAUGCUACACCAUGUUCCCCUCAACCUGGCUUUCAGUACUGGCCUUCACCCCAGGGGUUGGAACACUCCAGUCUUAAACAUAAGCAUCUGGAAUGUUAUCAGACAGAGUGGCAAGACCCCUCAAAUCCCAGGAUUUCAUCCAGACAACACCACAAAAUCACUGUGGCCUCAGUCAAGAACACCUGAGGCUCACCUGCCUCGGGGUUGGGGGGUGAAUGAACAGCUGGUGCUCCAUCCUGCAAAAGGGACUGGACCCAGCUCCUAGGAAGCUAUAUGCUGAGCCAACUCAAGAAAGGAUGGCAGCCCCUGUAGCUGCCUGCCGUGUCUCCCACACUCUCCUUGGAGUGGAGGGAGAUGCCAUGCCGGCGGGAACUGGAAGAAGUCCACUUAUGAAGGGGAGAGGGACAGAGUGCUGCCACCAGCUGACCCACCCCUCGCCACCUAGAUCCAGAGAUCACUGUCUUGUCAAUUCCAAGCAUCUUGGGCUCCACAUCACAACCAACAUAAAAGAGGAAGGGGCCUCUGGUCUGAUCCCUGAUCAGAUCUCUCUCCACUCCAGGAACCUCACAAAUAUCCCUAGCAAGCCAUCUCCUCACCACCACCACCCUUUUUUUUUUUGGUACCAGAGAUUGAACCCAGGGAUGCUAACCACUGAGCCACAUCCCCAGCCCUUUUACUUUUUAUUUUGAGACAAGGUCUCACUAAGUUGCUGAGGCUGGUUUUGAACUUGCGAUCUUCCUGCCUCAACCUCCCGAGUCACUUAUAGGCAUGCAACACGGUGCCAGGCUCUCCUUCCAUCAGCCAGGGGCAUUCUUCGCCAGUUAGGAAGUAGUUGAGGUGGGAAUUUUUCAACUUUUCAUAGAGAUUAUUCACUGAGGUUUAGAGGAUAAUUCCAAGGAGGAAAGGGCAAUAGCAAGCAUCGAGUUCAAUUUGAAGGAGAAAGUCCUAAAUUUGAAGAAUGAGACGGAGAAGGGAGACAUCGAAGCAGAAAUUGAUUCCAAUUAACUACAGCCAGUGAGUGCAGAUGUGUGAUUCAAACCUAGGUCUAACUCUGAAGCCUUCGUACACUACAGCAGAAGGAGAAGAAAUAACUAGGAAAAAAUCUAAAGAACCACAAGGGUUUUUAAAAGACCUUCCAUGAGAAAUGCAAGAUUUUAGAAAAUCCACAGUAUUAACAAUCAGAAAGAGAAGACGCAUUUUGGCUAAGAAACCAGAUGGACCAAUUUGUAAUAGAAAAAAUACUUGCUGAAACCAGUGUGUAUAGCAAAAUGUAUGCUAAUGAAACUGUAGGUGAGCAUUGUUUAAAACUAUGUGCAUGAAAUGAACCCAGAGACAAGAGAAUGUUCGAUAAGAAGGAAAGCUUUAUGCACAAUGUCCCUUCCACCUAUCUAGCGCUGUGCAUGUGACAUUGCCUGGAAUCUUUUCACCAACUCUAAAAAUGUAGGUAUUAUCCCCAUUUCAAAGAGGAGAAGACUGAGCCUCAGAGAGGCCAAGGCACUAGUAGUAGGGGCAGGUGUUCCAGCUGUUUGCAGUCGGAGUAGCCCAGGAUCUGUGUGAUGUGUCAGUGCCCAGGCCAUCCACUAAGCAUAAGUAAUACCUCUCCUGCUUGAAAACACAAUUUUUAAAAAGUCAGGGAAAAUGGGCCACAGUAGCCUGACUGGUAGCAAGAAAGAGUCCUUGAAGGAAAAUAAAUAAAAUCUAUGCAGAGUAAGAAAAACUGAUUAAAAUCAUAACUUCUCUUACUGUUGGAGCUGUCCUCGCUUUUAGAGGCUUGAGCCGGAGAUAUAUGUAUCUCAUUCUAAAUUCCAUUAAAUGCGCCUUCCAAAUCCCUGCGGGCCCCGCCCCCACAGCCAGCCUCUCCUUUCCGUGGAGAACUUCCGCACUUUCGCUUCACCCCCCAGCUCCUGAGCCAGAUUCAUAACUGCUCCUGCCCUCCCUCCUCUCCUCUCUGGGAGAUGAAACUAUUAGUGGACUAGAUCGGGAAGUUUCCAGAUGCUCUACAGUUUGGUCAAUGAAGUUUUCAUCCAAUAUGCAGGUUUUGAAGUAUGCAUGCUGGAUCUGUGACCUUGCAGGUCACCAUGCGGAGAAGCGCUCUGUAGGUGACUGCAGGUACAGUACUACUUCUGUCCCUCCCCUUUGAUCUCCAGCCAAAGUUCUUUCACUUUGAUUCCCUCCUCUUGGGUAUACAGAAUGCUAAGCAUACCUCUGCUUCCCUUCUUUCCUUCUAACAGGAUAAAGUCUCCAUGAGCCAGAAGCCCCACCCCACAAAAGUGGUGUUAUUACCGGAAUUGAAUUUAUCUCCCCGUGUUACAAUCUCAGGUCGCUCAGCUAUCUGGGAUUCUGACUUCUCCCAAACGUCUCAUCUUCACCAGCAAAUCACUGGACACCCUCUCUGUUUCAAUCGGGUCACCAAUGAAUAUUAGUUAGGGGGUUUUCUUCUGGCAAUUUUCUCUGCUCAUGCAUUUCCAUUGUAAAUUUAAAACCUCAUUCAUUUAGUCAAGAGAUAAGUAUUUAUCGCCACCUACCACAUGCUGGGCAGUAAAGGAAGCUGGCUCCCAGGAUCCCUGAAUGAACAAACCUCCUGAUCAGAGAGGUUCUGCUUUAGUCAUGCUGGGCCAACCUUCCUGUAUAUGGUUACUAUGAACUCUAGACAUGCCCUCCCCC
rnacentral:lncRNA from 1 species